rnacentral:lncRNA from 1 species
CCAGUGGUAGUCUGUUGUGUGGGUUGUUAUGUAGUAGCCCGUGUGUGGGUUGUGUUAUGUAGUAGCCAGUGGUAGUCUGUUGUAGUGGGUUGUGUUAUGUAGUGCCAUGGUGUCUUAGUGCCGUUUUAGUGGGUUGUGUUAUGUUGAGCCAGUGGUAGUCUGUUGUAGUGGUUUUGUUAUGUAUAGCCAGUGGUAGUCUAUUGUAGUAGCCAGUGGUUGUCUAUUGUAGUAGGUUGUGUUAUGUAGUGUAGUAGGUUGUGUU